GAUGUGCAAAUUCCGAUCGCGCAACUUUCCUGUGGUGCACAUUGGGUAAUGCUAAUGCCGACGGUAAAACCUUUUAAUAAGAAAUAGUCAGAUGAAAGUCGUCUAUUUUUAUUAGAUAUCGCAAUUCCUGAAACUGAUACAGCCCAAUGACUUUUUCUACGUGGUAAAAUCGAAUAUCAAAAUUCCCUAAUGGGGAAGCUUUGUUCGCGUAACUACUCAGAUUUGCUUGUGUUAAUGUGAGUCUGGAGUAGUAAAAAUUCGUGGGAAGUCAGGUACGCAACACACAUGCACACGUCGAACGCUUACAAUCCGAGGAUGGUUUCGAGUUUUAAAAUAAAAAUUAACCAUAGUUGUUAGCGAAACUCGGAAUUUUUAUUCUUGCAAUACCCAAUAAACAUUCGGAUGACUUUUGGAGGACUUAACUUUAAGACAUCAAUUAGAGAACUUUGCUCACUCGAGUUUUCCGAACGCAGCUCGAGAGAGGGUACUGCACAACAUAACCUAGAAAAAAUAAAAUAUAAAACUGCAGUCAUCGAGUAUUAAGUAUCGACAGUCAUCGUGUAUAUACGUGAGAUAUUAAUUUAAUAAUAUAAUUAUGUUGAAAAGGAAAAAUGUCGAAGACUGCAUGAAAAAACAUAUCAAAAAGAUUAGAAGCAAAAAUGAUUACCGUUGGAGGCGAUAAUUUCGACAAAGCUAUAAAAAAAUGAUGUCAGUGAUUAUGACCGAUGAGUUAGCAAGUCGAUGUACUUAGAUUAUUAAAAAACCUAACAAAACCAAGAUUUCAAAUUAUAAUUUUCCAAACAUAAUAAGUGCUUAUAUCACGCAAAAGUUUUCUACUAUGGAUGAAAUAGUGAGAAAACGAAUACAACUUUGGCUGCAAAAGUAUAGUGAUCGUAUAAGUUAUUUUGUUUAAUACGCUUAUAAUUUUCUAAAUGUGAUGUUUUUGUAAUGUGUAGACAUAGUAAAUAUUGAGUAUUAUACAUACAAAAGCGUAACCGCUCACUGAGCUGCUAUAAGUAGCAAUUGAAGGUGAUUUAUUGGAUUAUAUCUUCAAAGGUAUACCUUUAUUACUUAUUUAUAAAUAAUUACUUAUUUAUCAAUAAGAACCAGCCACCUACAAUUAUUAUAAUACUAUAGCCACUUAGUGAGCGAUUAUGAAUCUGGAUGUACUCAAUAUCAAUGAACUAAUCAUAUUUAACGUUAUAUAUGAUUUUAUAUUAC